rnacentral:lncRNA from 1 species
GUAGUUUUCUGAGCGCAUUUCGUGCAGGCGGUUUGCUGUUUUUGCGCCUUAAGGGGCUCCAGCGAGGAGGGGGCCCCCAAGCUCUGCCAUCUCUGCACUGGGCCUUUUCCAAGAGAACACAGAUGAGGAGAGAAUGGCAGCUGUGCCCCUAACAACCAGAUGGCAGUUGAAUUGGACUUCCUUCCUUCUGGAGCUUUCUUACUAGCCAGAGAGUGAAUGCCUUGGAAAUGGGUCCCCAUCUGGUCAAGAAGUCACUCACAUUUAAGGAUGUGGCUGUGAAGUUCUCGAAGGAUGAGUGGAAACAGCUGGUUCCUACUCAGAGAGCCCUUUACAGGGAGGUGAUGCUGGAGAACUAUCAAGAUUUCAUUUCUUUGGGACUUCUACUUCCUAAAGCUGAUGUGAUUUUCCAGCUGAAGAGAGGUGAUGAGCCAUGGAAACUUGAGUUUUGGGAAGCUGAAGAGAGAGACGUCCCAAGAGGUACUUCUCUAGGUCUGUAUGAGCCAGACCAGAAGGGUAGACUUGAUAACCAGGACUCAACUCAAAGGCAGAAUGUUUCUGAAAAUGUAAAGUCACAAGAGACAUUAAUAGACAAACUCAGGAAAGAUGUUCUGGAUCCUGUACUUGGCCAAGAAAACCCUGAGGGCACAAUGAAGGAAAAUCCUUCAGGGGAGACUCCAAGGGAAAAGGACCUCAGACAAGUGUCUACUCCUGCCAAAAAAACUGACAGUAAAGGAAGAAGCUUUAAGUGCGGCAUAUGUGGGAAGACACUGUUCAACCACUUGUCCCUCACUCGCCAUCAGAGGACCCAUACUGGAGAGAAGCCCUAUGACUGCGAAGAGUGUGGGAAAGCCUUUAGCUACAGGAGUUGUCUUAAGAAACAUCUUAUGUCUCACAGUGGAAAGAGCCCUUUUGAAUGCAAUGAAUGUGAGAAAACUUUCUAUGACCGAUUAACCCUCACUGAACAUCUGAGAACCCACACAGGAGAGAAGCCCUUUCAGUGUAAUCAAUGCAGCAAGGCUUUCUUUGUCCAUUCCUCUUUUACUUGACAUCAGAGAAUCCAUUCAGGAGAAAGUCCUUAUGAGUGUACAGACUGUGGGAAGUCUUUUAGCCAGAAGAGCAUUCUCGCAUGCCACAGGCUCACACAUACCGGAGAGCGGCCCUAUGUAUGCGAGGGAUGCGGCAAGGCUCUGUUUGACCGAUCCUCGCUUAUUCGCCACAGGAGAGCCCACACUGGAGAGACUCCUUUUGGAUGUGACAAGUGUGGGAAAGUUUUCUUUGACCGCUCAUCCCUUAAUCAGCAUCGGAAGAUUCAUAGUGGAGACAAGUCCUAUAAAUGCACUGAAUGUGGGAAAGCCUUUCUCCAGAAAAGACGGCUUAUUCAACAUCAGAGGGUGCACACGGGGGAGAAACUCUAUGAAUGCAGUGUGUGUGGAAAAGAGUUCAGUUGCAAGUCAUCUAUCAUCCAACAUCAGAGAUGUUAUGCCAGACAGGCUUCAGAAUAUCAUUGGGGUGCUUCAGCAAGACAGGGGACCCCCAUAGAGACUUAGGAUGCUCUUGUUCAAGAUAAAGACUUAAUAUCUGAGCACUUCUAAAUACGCUUCUUCUCAUGCUUCCAUUUGGUACCAGUCUCAAUAAAAAGUUUCAAUGGACAAUGCCAUAAACCUCACCUGGGAUGCCUCAGAUUUAAGAUUAUACUCUGAGGAUACCCAAAAUGGUCAGAAGCUCUCCAAUCAGUAUGCUCUGUAAGUGUCUGAAGGGGACCCUCAUAUAAGCAUCAUAUAUUUUAUUCAUUCAUGCAUGCAUUUGUUUAUUGCUGGACUGACUGUUCCAUGAGACAGGAACUAUUUCAUAUCUGUGCACUGCCGUUUUCUCAGUGUGGUGGCUGAAACUUAUUUCAUGUUUCUAUAUGAAUGAAUACCUAUCUGGUCAUAAGAACUUGAGUCCCAAACCCAGCACACUUUUUAGAACCAGAAACUUCAGUAAGAAAAUAAACAUCAAGCUAAUAUCUACUUAGCACU